GACGAACGCUGGCGGCGUGCUUAACACAUGCAAGUCACGGGGGGCCCGCAAGGGUCAACCGGCGAACGGGUGCGUAACACGUGAGCGACCUGCCCAGUUGCGGGGGAUAGCCGGCCCAACGGCCGGGUAAUACCGCAUACGCUUCCUUGGGGGCAUACCUGGGGAAGGAAACCUACGGGGCGAUUGGAGGGGCUCGCGGCCUAUCAGCUAGUUGGCGAGGUAACGGCUCACCAAGGCGAUGACGGGUAGCUGGUCUGAGAGGAUGGCCAGCCACAUUGGGACUGAGAGACGGCCCAGACUCCUACGGGAGGCAGCAGUGGGGAAUCUUGCGCAAUGGCCGAAAGGCUGACGCAGCGACGCCGCGUGGAGGAUGACGCCC
rnacentral:rRNA from 1 species